GAUGAAGAACGCAGCGAAAUGCGAUAACUAGUGUGAAUUGCAGAAUUCAGUGAAUCAUCGAGUCUUUGAACGCACAUUGCGCCCCCUGGUACUCCGGGGGGCAUGCCUGUCCGAGCGUCAUUGCUGCCCUCAAGCACGGCUUGUGUGUUGGGCUCCGUCCCCCCGGGGACGGGCCCGAAAGGCAGCGGCGGCACCGAGUCCGGUCCUCGAGCGUAUGGGGCUUUGUCACCCGCUCUGUAGGCCCGGCCGGCGCCAGCCGACAACCCAUCAUCCUUUUCAGGUUGACCUCGGAUCAGGUAGGGAUACCCGCUGAACUUAAGCAUAUCAAUAAGCGGAGGA
rnacentral:misc_RNA from 1 species